GGCCUGUGAUGAAGAUUCUGCCAAAUGAGUGCUCUUGAUUAUAACCCUUACCGUUCCACUUCAUUCUGAGGCU
ensembl:snoRNA